rnacentral:tmRNA from 1 species
GGGGUCGAUCGGUUUCGACGGUAACCUGUCCGUCGCAGAGAAGCGUGCCGUGAAGGCGUGGGUCCACACGUAAAUGUCCUCACGCGAAGAAUUAAGUGCCAAACAUAACAGCACUGAGUUCGCACUCGCUGCCUGAGUUUAGCCUCAGGGUUUAAUCCGCGAGAUGCGUCUCCGUUCUCCAUUCUGCCGCCUUCGCGGAAUGGUUGAGCGUCAUGACGAAGGCUUGCCUUACAGCCUGCGUUGCAGGGGAUGUGAGGGACUUUCACUGUAACUGAGCCCGCAAGAGGCGUCAUCGCUAUUCAUUGGGGCUGAGAAAUUCCCGUUCGGGCAUGAUGACUACGCACGUAGAAGGCUGAGAGUUCGGUUAUCGGACCCGGGUUCAAUCCCCGGCGGCUCCACUU